rnacentral:rRNA from 1 species
UACGUAGGGUGCAAGCAUUAAUCGGAUUUAUUGGGCGUAAAGGGCGCGUAGGCGGGAUAAUAAGUCAGAUGUGAAAGCCCGGGGCUCAACCCCGGAACAGCAUUUGAAACUAUCAUUCUUGAGGGUAGGCGGAGAAAAUGGAAUUCCACAAGUAGCGGUGAAAUGCGUAGAUAUGUGGAAGAACACCAGUGGCGAAGGCGGUUUUCUAGCUUAUACCUGACGCUGAGGCGCGAAAGCAAGGGGAGCAAACAGG